UGCGUAGGCGGAUAAAUAAGUCAGUGGUGAAAUCUUUCGGCUCAACCGGGAAACUGCCAUUGAUACUGUUUAUCUUGAGUUCGGUAGAGGUAGGCGGAACGUGUAAUGUAGCGGUGAAAUGCUUAGAUAUUACACAGAACACCAAUUGCGUAGGCAGCUUACUAUGCCGACACUGACGCUGAGGCACGAAAGCGUGGGGAGCGAACAGGAUUAGAUACCCUGGUAGUCC
rnacentral:rRNA from 1 species